rnacentral:rRNA from 1 species
GAUGAACGCUGGCGGCGUGCUUAACACAUGCAAGUCGAACGGGAAACCUUUUAUUGAAGCUUCGGCAGAUUUAGCUGGUUUCUAGUGGCGGACGGGUGAGUAACGCGUGGGUAACCUGCCUUAUACAGGGGGAUAACAACCAGAAAUGGUUGCUAAUACCGCAUAAGCGCACAGGACCGCAUGGUCCGGUGUGAAAAACUCCGGUGGUAUAAGAUGGACCCGCGUUGGAUUAGCUAGUUGGCAGGGUAACGGCCUACCAAGGCGACGAUCCAUAGCCGGCCUGAGAGGGUGAACGGCCACAUUGGGACUGAGACACGGCCCAGACUCCUACGGGAGGCAGCAGUGGGGAAUAUUGCACAAUGGGGGAAACACUGAUGCAGCGACGCCGCGUGAAGGAAGAAGUAUCUCGGUAUGUAAACUUCUAUCAGCAGGGAAGAUAGUGACGGUACCUGACUAAGAAGCCCCGGCUAACUACGUG